CGGCUCGUCCCUUCCCCCACCCCCAGCCGCCGCCGCCGCCCGCGCUUCGCAACAAAGCCGGCUGCGGAGCCAUGGUCCACGGCGCCCGCCCGCGACCCCGCCGCCCCGCAUGGUAGCCGGAACGUCUCUCCCUUACCAGCCUUCGCUUCCUGGUGCCCAGCUCUUAGGACCGUGUGUGACUCUGGCCUUCUACCGAGACAACAGAGAAACGCACAGCAACUCGCAUGGAGGAAUCGGCGAAAUGGCUCCGACCGCGGCGCUAGGGGGCGGGGCCAGCGAGUCAGCAACCUCGCGGCGCGGAAGGGUUUCGUUGCUAGGGAGAUGGGCUGAGCCGGGCGGGCAUCGCGCCAGACCUGCUACUCUGGAUAAUCCACUCUCCUGGAUAAUCCACUACCCUGGAUAAUCGGCUGCCCGCUUUUGCGCAUGUUAGGGAGUUGACGGCCUGUAGCAUUCUGAUGCAGCAAAAUAUUUCGCAGGGUCUGUCAUAGGGAUCUCCGGUGAGAGGAGGUUCCCUUCGAAGGCAGAACUGGAAACCUUGCUGCUAACUUGCCGGGCAUGGGGGCGGGCGCCUGCAAUCCCAGCUGCUUGGGUGGCUGGGCGGGCUCCUGCAAUCCCAGCUACUCGGGAGGCUGAGGCAGGAGAAUCGCUUGAACCCCGGGGUCGGGGGCGGAGGCGGAGGUUGCAGUGGGCCGAGAUCACGCCAUUUUCUGGGCGAGAGAGCGAGACUCCGUCUCAAAAAAAAAAAAAAAAACCAUGAAAGAAAUAAGCUCAGUGAAGGCGGGCAUUCUGCCUGGCUAACGCAGGUCGCUCCUUGCCGUGCCUGGAACAUUACUGUAAGUGCUCAGCAAACUACUUUAAGGGUGUUGAAAGCAGCAGGGGCCUAGAAGACAUUAAACCGAUACCACAGAAAUACAAAGGAUCAUUAGAGACUAUUAUGAACAACUAUAUGCCAACAAAUUGGAAACCAAAUGGAAAUGGAUAAAUUCCUGAACAGAUACAACUUACCAAAAUUGGACCAAGAAGAAAUAGAAAACCUGAAAAGACCAACUAUGAGUAAUGAGAUUAAAUCAGUAAUAUAGAGUCUCCCAUCAAAGAAAAGUCCAGGCCCUGAUGGCUUCACUGCUGAAUUCUACUGAACAGUUAAAGAAGAACUCAUACCAGUUCUCAAACUCAUCCUGUGAGGGCAGCAUUACCCUGAUACCAAAACUAGAUAUGGACACAAGAAAAAAAAUCUAUAGGCCAGUAUCCCUGAUGAACAUAGAUGCAAGAAUCCUCAACAAGACCAGGUGUGGUGGUUCAUGCCUGUAAUCCCAGCACUUUGGGAGGCCAAGGCAGGUGGAUCACCUGAGGUCAGGAAUUUGAGACCAGCCUGGCCAACAUGGCAAAACCCUGUCUGUACUAAAAAUACAAAAAUUAGCCGGGCAAGGUGGCGUGUGCCUGUAAUCCUAGCUACUUGGGAGGCUGAGGCAGGAGAAUUGCUUGAACCUGGAGGGAGGAGGGGCAGAAGUUGCAGCGAGCUCAGAUCGUCCCACUGCACUCCAGCCUGGGUGACAGAGUGAGACUCCAUCUCAAAAUAAGUAAAUAAAUAAAGAGACUCAACUAG
rnacentral:lncRNA from 1 species